rnacentral:rRNA from 1 species
UGGGCCCAGAUCGUUUACCGUGAAAAAAUUAGAGUGUUCAAAGCAGGCAGAUCCAAUUUUCUGCCACCGAAUACAUUAGCAUGGGAUAAUGGAAUAGGACCCUGUCCUCCUAUUUUCAGUUGGUUUUGGCAGCGCGAGGACUAGGGUAAUGAUUAAUAGGGAUAGUUGGGGGCAUUAAUAUUUAAUUGUCAGAGGUGAAAUUCUUGGAUUUAUGAAAGAUUAACUUCUGCGAAAGCAUCUGCCAAGGAUGUUUUCAUUAAUCAAGAACGAAAGUUAGGGGAUCGAAGACGAUCAGAUACCGUCGUAGUCUUAACCAUAAACGAUGCCGACCAGCGAUUAGGAGACGUUGAAUACAAAACACCACCAUCGGCGCGGUCGUCCUUGGC